rnacentral:RNase_P_RNA from 2 species
CUAACAGGUCAGACUGCCGCUGCCGGGUUCUCCCGGCAGAGGAAAGUCCGGGCUCCAUAGAGAGUGAUGCCGGGUAAUGCCCGGGCGUUCCUUCGGGAAUGACAGAAAGUGUCGCAGAAAAUAUACCGCCUUCUGAUUUAUCAGCGGGUAAGGGUGAAAUGGCGGGGUAAGAGCCCACCGCUCCUCCGGUAACGGAGGAGGCAUGACAAACCUCAUCAGGAGCAAGAUCAAGCAGCAGGCCGGGUUUCUCGCCUAAAGCCUGCGGGUAGAUUGCUGAAGAUCCGAAGCAAUUCGGAGAUCAGAUAGAUGGCAGUCCGUCGACAGAACCCGGCUUACCGACCUGUUUUUUUA